UAGGGAAUCUUCCACAAUGGGCGAAAGCCUGAUGGAGCAACGCCGCGUGUGUGAUGAAGGGUUUACGGCUCGUAAAACACUGUUGUAAGAGAAGAAUGACAUUGAGAGUAACUGUUCAAUGUGUGACGGUAUCUUACCAGAAAGGAACGGCUAAAUACGUGCCAC
rnacentral:rRNA from 1 species